rnacentral:rRNA from 1 species
GUACAUGCCUAUAGCAUAGUGAUAACACACUAGAUCCCAUUAGAACUCUGCAUUUAAGCACAAUCGAUCUAGAGUUUUACUAGGAUGGGUGACCACCUGAGAAAUCCUAGUGUUUUACAUG